ensembl:lncRNA PVT1 Pvt1 oncogene
ACAAGUUGAGACUUGUUCAACUUGACACAGUCCUGUGGUCAUAGCGAAUCUUUCUAAAGCUCUGAUCAGUCAAGAAGGGGGUUGUAUCAAUCCUCAGAACCCUGAGUGGAACUUUCUACAGGAUUUAUUAGGAGAAAAACCUUCCCGGAAGCUGCAGAAGGACAAAUACAGAAUCCGUGUCUGGGAGAAACCUCGUGGCCUGGUCUCCAUUAUUUGAGAUGAGUUACAUCUUGGAGGCCUGAUCUUUUGGCCAGAAGGAGAUUAAAAAGAUGCCCCUCAAGAUGGCUGUGCCUGUCAGCUGCAUGGAGCUUCGUUCAAGUAUUUUCUGAGCCUGAUGGAUUUACAGUGAUCUUCAGUGGUCUGGGGAAUAACGCUGGUGGAACCAUGCACUGGAAUGACACACGCCCGGCACAUUUCAGGAUACUAAAAGUGGUUUUAAGGGAGGCUGUGGCUGAAUGCCUCAUGGAUUCUUACAGCUUGGAUGUCCAUGGGGGACGAAGGACUGCAGCUGGCUGAGAGGGUUGAGAUCUCUGUUUACUUAGAUCUCUGCCAACUUCCUUUGGGUCUCCCUAUGGAAUGUAAGACCCCGACUCUUCCUGGUGAAGCAUCUGAUGCACGUUCCAUCCGGCGCUCAGCUGGGCUUGAGCUGACCAUACUCCCUGGAGCCUUCUCCCGAGGUGCGCGGGUGACCUUGGCACAUACAGCCAUCAUGAUGGUACUUUAAGUGGAGGCUGAAUCAUCUCCCCUUUGAGCUGCUUGGCACGUGGCUCCCUUGGUGUUCCCCUUUUACUGCCAGGACACUGAGAUUUGGAGAGAAUCCUGUUACACCUGGGAUUUAGGCACUUUCAAUCUGAAAAAAUACAUAUCCUUUCAGCACUCUGGACGGACUUGAGAACUGUCCUUACGUGACCUAAAGCUGGAGUAUUUUGAGAUUGGAGAAUUAAGGCCAACAGAGAUUUUGAGAAACACAUUGAAGGAUCUGUUAACACUUGAUAUACCCAAUAAAAGCAGUGGUUGUGCCAGUGCUGAUCUGUCUUGAUGUGAAUGUGAACAAUGGGAACCUGAGCUGAGCAGUUAAUGCUAGGGUGACAGAAACUGGACCUCUCCCAAGACAUGUGACAGAGUAAUACAGCAGCCAACUUCUUCGCCAAAUUAAAGUUUUACAAGAUUUAACCUGUCAUCAAGACCUGGGAUUUUGGUGAGCCAGUCUUGGUGCUCUGUGUUCACCUGGUUCAUCUGAGGAGCUGCAUCUACCCUGCCCAUGCCAUAGAUCCUGCCCUGUUUGCUUCUCCUGUUGCUGCUAGUGGACAUGAGGUAACCACAGCCUAGUUCUGUGAUAAGCUCUUCACACCUGUACCCAUAUGGACUGUGGGAGAGUUUCUCUGAUAUGGACUGUGAUGCGGGACAGAAUAACGGGCUCCCAGAUUCACAAGCCCCACCAAGAGGAUCACCCCAGGAACGCUUGGAGGCUGAGGAGUUCACUGAGGCUACUGCAUCUUGAGACUCAGGAUGAAGACCCAGCUUGGGGCUGUCAAAGGUUUUUUGCAUGUCUGACACCCAUGACUCCACCUGGACCUUAUGGCUCCACCCAGAAGCAAUUCAGCCCAACAGGAGGACAGCUUCAACCCAUUACGAUUUCAUCUCUGCCCCAACCACUCAGCAGCAAGCACCUGUUACCUGUCCACCCCCACCCCUUCCCCCAAACUGCCUUUGAAAAAUCCCUAACCUAUGAGCUUUGAAUAAGAUGAGUACGAACUUCAUCGCCCACGUGGCGUGGCCGGCCUCGUGUCUAUUAAAUUCUUUUUCUACUACAA